rnacentral:lncRNA from 1 species
UAUUAAUUCAUUUUAAUUGGGAUGAGUCAAGUCUUGUAAUGUUGGGAUGUCUGUUACUUUGACUUAAACAUAAACAUUAAUGAAACUUAAAAUAACCAUGGCAAGGUUCCUUUUUUUUUUUUUUUGUGAAAUAGAAAUGGAAAUUGGCAUUAAAUGGGGCUCAAGGUCUAAAAAGGUACAACAUAGGCUACAAGCAAUUUGGACUUGGCACCUAAAUAACGAACAGAAAGAAUGGUCCCACAGCCAUAAACUCCAAAUGAAAAACAUCUAACAGGUCUAAAACCCUUCAUAGACAUAUACUUGAGUUUACUGCCUAACCAAACUACGGCCCACAGGCCUACAAUAAUAUGAAAAAUACCAUAAUGCCCCCAACCUAAUCUCUUCCUUUCAGAAAACUCUACCAUCGUCUUUCUUAUUUGCUCCAUUAAAUACCAGAAGGAAGAAACCACCAUAGCAGCCAUUAGCAAGAUCGGGAGAUAAAAUGCACGUUCAAACUGAAUAAAUGUGUACCUCCAGUCCUUGAUAAAAACUCGCCAGCACAAAAAAUAAAACCAUUGACUACUUAAUAAAAAGGAGAGGGGAUAUCGCAACCAACAGAUCAAAUUAACUAAUAACCCAGGGAAGCUAUCUCUCCUUUUAUUGGCGAGAAGGAACACCGAAACAACUCGAAAUAGGCUUAAAACCUUUUGUUAAUAAGAGCCAAUGAUUGACCCUUGCUGCUUCUUCUUCUUCUGCAACCCCAUCGCCUCCUAAACCCAUCUCUCCUUGCUUCCAACAAUAAUCAAAAGACAGCAUUCCAUAGAGCGAAAGUUGGUAUGAGAACCGGAUCUAGCCGGACUUAACCAACGCAAGCCAUUCGCUACCACAAAAAAUACACUGGUAAUACAAAAACAGUAGCAACUUACAAGAGGAACGAUAAAACAAAUAACAUAAUAUUAUUGAUAUACAUGAACAAACUAUAAAAACAGUAAAGGAAAAUGAGAUGGGGCAAGCUUCUUGUGGCUAGAGCCACUAGAAACUGCCCCUCAAGAGAAACCCAAAUGAGGGGUACUAAAUGUAACAAAACGGUAGAGAGAGAAUGGCUUUUCUAGAGAGAAUAGCAGGUUUUCGAAUUACCAUGACAAGAUUCUCAAUAAGCUCUCUAGUUGGGGUUCCUCGUUAUCCAUGGCAAGAAGGCCAACUCUGAUUAGUUUGGUCAUGUCAAGUUUCUUUUGCAUAUAUGGCCA